rnacentral:rRNA from 1 species
GGUUCAUUCAAAUUUCUUCCCUAUCAACUUUCGAUGCGAGGGUAUUGUCCUCGCAUGGUUACAACGGGUAACGGAGGGUUAGGGCUCGACCCGGAGAAGGAGCCUGAGAAACGGUACUACAUCCAAGGAAGGCAGCAGGCGCGCAAAUUACCCAAUCCCGACCGGGGAGGUAGUGACAAUAAAUACUGAUACAGGGCUCUUUUGGGUCUUGUAAUCGGAAUGAGUACAAUUUAAAUCUCUUAACGAGGAACAAUUGGAGGGCAAGUCUGGUGCCAGCAGCCGGGUAAUUCCAGCUCCAAUAGGGUAUAUUAAAGUUGUUGUGGUUAAAAAGCUCGUAGUUG